GACAGAGGUGCCGAGCGUUAGGCGGAAUCACUGGGCUUAAAGCGUGUGUAGGCGGAUCGUUAAGUACCUUGUGAAAUCCCACGGCUCAACCGUGGAACUGCUGGGUAUACUGGCGGUCUUGAGCCACCUAGGGGCGAGCGGAACAAGCGGUGGAGCGGUGAAAUGCGUAGAUAUCGCUUGGAACGCCAACGGUGAAAACAGCUCGCUGGGGGUGUGCUGACGCUGAGACACGAAAGCCAGGGGAGCGAAUGGG
rnacentral:rRNA from 1 species